UUACAUUUAAGGAAGCAGAAACAGAGACAGUUGAUGUAACUGAUUCAAGAUCACCUAACAGGAAGCCCUGGUCACCCCAAGCCUGGAGGGGCAGAAAGAGAGACCUCUUAUGGGAACCUGAGGGUAUCUAUAGCCCCAGGAGAGUGGUUGCCUGGCCAAAGCUGUGACCAUCCACAGAGGAAGAUGGCCAUGGCCAAAGAGAAGAUAGGACACAAUUAUACACCCAACUCUGAUCCUUGGCUGAUGACUCCCAUUGGCCGAAUCAAACCGGAAGCCAGAAGAAUUGGCACUGGACAUGGAUCACUCCAAAAGAUUCGUCUUUGUACUUUUUUUUCCGUUGGCAACCCAGUCUUCCAACCACUGGCCAUAAAAUAACAAGGGGAAGCUACAAAAAUGAAACAAAACAAAACAAAAUAAACAAAAAAACCAAAGUGGAAGAAAGAAAAGGAAAAGAGAAAAACCAGCUUGUUCUUGAGUACACAGCUGGGAUGACACAGACGGAACUCCCUGAUCCGCACUCCCUGAGCGAGCGUCCCCAUCUCCCCUUUCCCCUUGGUGGCUCUGAGUAUAGCAUGGAGUUAGAAACCAGACUCUGGAUUCCAAAUGCCUGGGUUCAAAGGCUGACCAUCUCACUCCCACGGAGCCCCUGGGAUGAUGCCUGGCAACAGUGGCCGCUAUCGACAUGAGCUGUUCAGUACCUGUCCACACACAGAGGUAUUCUGGGCAUGGUCAUUUCCUCCCCUCCUUGGAAGAUGCCAACACUGGUCCUCCCCUAAGGAGGCACCCUGUCUUGAAGCCUCUGUACCCACCCAUUACCCUAUUUGACUGAACGUCAUCAAUUCAGAACAACUUAAAUGAUUUGUGAGCCUCUCAAACAGACUAACAGAAAGGGGAAAACUUUAGAAUGACUGGGGCACAGCCCACAGCUCUAGUCUGAUGAAAAUAGUGCUGGAGGGAGAGAUGACCUGGUGACAUCAGGUUUCAACAUCAUGGCAGGACCAAUCUCGCAUCAGUUAAAUAGGAAAUCAUCCCAUUCUGUAGUGACAAGAGAGAGAAGUAAUGGCUACAGAACACAAACAUAUAUAAAACCAAGAGCCUCACAAAAUGCAUGUAAUAGGCAGAACCUAUUUCAGUUAUAUAUUCCACCAGUUUCAGUUCCCUACAACAUAACAUCCCUAUACAAUGAAAUUACGAUGUAACAUUUGUGCAUAAAGAGGGCAUGUAACUGCAGAGCCGCAAGGGUUCACCCCAAGUGCCCAGACCUGAAGUCUUGGUGUCAGGGCAUGGUAUGCAUCAGGAGGAACAUUCUAGAUUGACGAGGAGGCUGAGAUAUGGAGACAGACAUUCAGGUCCACAUACUAUGUGCCAGGUGCUGAAUGGACAUCCCCUCAUUUACUCAUCACCAAAUCUAUGAUGUACAAAUAGCUUUCAGGAAACCACCUGUGCCUGGGAUGGAGCCUGGACUUCGCCACUUUCCAGCUGUGUGAUUUUUAGGAAAGUUGUACAACCCAUCUGAGCCUGGGAAGAAUAAAGGGGCCAACAUACAUAAAACACCCUGUACAUAAUAAGUGUCUAAUUGAUGUGAUUUUUUUUUCCCUCCUCUUGAUUCUAUUAGUGUUUUUCAACUCUGGCUGUACAUAGCAACCACUGGAGGAGCUUUAAAAAAAUUCUUGCCUGAGCCCUUCCUCCAGAGAUUCAGAUUUAAUUGGCCUGGGGGGUGUGGCCUGGACAAGGGCAUGGGGAUUUUUAAAAGCUCCCCCCUGGGAGCAGCUAACGUUCAGCCAAGGUUGAAAACCACUUGUCUUAAUUGAAUCACCCAGUAUCAAGCAGGGAGUUAGGAGGUGGUACAAGAAUUUUGUUAAUCACACUGGCAGAGUUAUAACUGAGAACUUGGGAACGCAGACGUCCCCUCCUGCCAUCAAGGGAAAAGGACAGAGCAAUGGGAGCUCCCUCAGCUCCGUGUCCUCCAGGGGAGCCGGUCUAU